CAGGCCUAACACAUGCAAGUCGAGCGGAUGAAGGGAGCUUGCUCUCUGAUUCAGCGGCGGACGGGUGAGUAAUGCCUAGGAAUCUGCCUAGUAGUGGGGGACAACGUUUCGAAAGGAACGCUAAUACCGCAUACGUCCUACGGGAGAAAGUGGGGGAUCUUCGGACCUCACGCUAUUAGAUGAGCCUAGGUCGGAUUAGCUAGUUGGUAGGGUAACGGCCUACCAAGGCGACGAUCCGUAACUGGUCUGAGAGGAUGAUCAGUCACACUGGAACUGAGACACGGUCCAGACUCCUACGGGAGGCAGCAGUGGGGAAUAUUGGACAAUGGGCGAAAGCCUGAUCCAGCCAUGCCGCGUGUGUGAAGAAGGCCCUCGGGUCGUAAAGCACUUUAAGUUGGGAGGAAGGGCUCAUAGCGAAUACCUGUGAGUUUUGACGUUAUCAACAGAAUAAGCACCGGCUAUCUUGGUGCCAGCAUCCGCGGUCA
rnacentral:rRNA from 1 species